CUCGAACGUAAGAUGACUGUAGGUGAAAGCUUACAUCUCUUCGGAGCAUUUUACGAGGUGCUGCAUGGUUGUCGUCAGCUCGUGCCGUGAGGUGUCGGGUUAAGUCCCAUAACGAGCGCAACCCCUACCUUUAGUUGCCAUCAGGUUAAGCUGGGGACUCUAAAGGAACUGCCUACGCAAGUAGUGAGGAAGGCGGGGAUGACGUCAAAUCAGCACGGCCCUUACGUCCAGGGCUACACACGUGCUACAAUGGCCGAUACAGAGGGCAGCUACCUGGUGACAGGAUGCAAAUCUCCAAAGUCGGUCUCAGUUCGGAUCGGAGUCUGCAACCCGACUCCGUGAAGUUGGAUUCGCUAGUAAUCGCGCAUCAGCCAUGGCGCGGUGAAUACGUUCCCGGGCCUU
rnacentral:rRNA from 1 species